AGCGAACGCUGGCGGCAGGCCUAACACAUGCAAGUCGAACGAAGCCUUCGGGCUUAGUGGCGGACGGGUGAGUAACACGUGGGAACGUACCUUUUGGUUCGGAACAACUCAGGGAAACUUGAGCUAAUACCGGAUGAGCCCUUAGGGGGAAAGAUUUAUCGCCGAAAGAGCGGCCCGCGUUAGAUUAGCUAGUUGGUGAGGUAAAGGCUCACCAAGGCUACGAUCUAUAGCUGGUCUGAGAGGAUGAUCAGCCACACUGGGACUGAGACACGGCCCAGCCUCCUACGGGAGGCAGCAGUGGGGAAUCUUGCGCAAUGGGCGAAAGCCUGACGCAGCCAUGCCGCGUGAAUGAUGAAGGUCUUAGGAUUGUAAAAUUCUUUUACCAGGGACGAUAAUGACGGUACCUGGAGAAAAAGCCCCGGCUAACUUCGUGCCAGCCGCCGCCGUAAAAC
rnacentral:rRNA from 1 species